UACAGGGGGUGCAAACGUUGCUCGGAAUCAUUGGGCGUAAGGCGCACGUAGGCGGUCUGUUAUGUCGGAUGUGAAAGCCCUUGGCUCAACUGAGGAAGUGCAUCCGAAACUGGCAGGCUAGAGUACUAAAGAGGAUCGCGGAAUUCCCGGUGUAGAGGUGAAAUUCGUAGAUAUCGGGAGGAACACCGGUGGCGAAGGCGGCGAUCUGGGUAGAUACUGACGCUGAGGUGCGAAAGCGUGGGGAGCAAACAGG
rnacentral:rRNA from 1 species